rnacentral:rRNA from 1 species
UACGGAGGAUGCAAGCGUUAUCCGGAAUGAUUGGGUGUAAAGCGUCCGCAGGUGGCUAUGUAAGUCUGCUGUUAAAGAGUGAGGCUCAACCUCAUAAGAGCAGUGGAAACUACAUGGCUAGAGUGCGUUCGGGGCAGAGGGAAUUCCUGGUGUAGCGGUGAAAUGCGUAGAUAUCAGGAAGAACACCGGUGGCGAAAGCGCUCUGCUAGGCCGCAACUGACACUGAGGGACGAAAGCUAGGGGAGCGAAUGGG